rnacentral:rRNA from 1 species
UACGUAGGGUCCGAGCGUUGUCCGGAAUUACUGGGCGUAAAGAGCUCGUAGGCGGUUUGUCGCGUUGUUCGUGAAAACUCACAGCUUAACUGUGGGCGUGCGGGCGAUACGGGCAGACUUGAGUACUGCAGGGGAGACUGGAAUUCCUGGUGUAGCGGUGAAAUGCGCAGAUAUCAGGAGGAACACCGGUGGCGAAGGCGGGUCUCUGGGCCGAUACUGACGCUGAGGAGCGAAAGCGUGGGUAGCGAACAGG